rnacentral:lncRNA from 1 species
GAAACUUUAAAAUUUUAAUAUAUUAUACUAAAGAGACUGCGUUGUUAAUCAAGUGAUGGUAGUUUAGUGGUAAUCUCUUGGGGGGGUUGGUGUGUAUCUACGUCAGUUUUGGGUUCGAUUCUACAAAGAAACUACUAUUUGGUCAGUCUUGACUUGAAUUUCGGUCCAAGUAAUUUACAUGGUGGAUUGUAACAGACGAUCGAUUCACCCCUUAGUAAUAGUCGGAAGAUAUUCAAACGCAGAUCGAACAGUAUUGUAUGCUUUUGGACUAGCUCAUUUUGUAGCACUACCGGAUAGCCAAUAGAAUUUAUAAAAAGAAAAGAAAAAAAAAGAGAUUGCGUCGUUAAACUGACCUAGUAAUGUGUCGGAGAGGAAUUUAAUCGAAAUUAUUAUUGGUAAUGGUAUGCUCCAGGAUUAUAAAUAUGCGAUAUUAAGACCAAACAUUUGG